rnacentral:rRNA from 1 species
AAUGAACGCUGGCGGUAGGCCUAACACAUGCAAGUCGAACGGACACACAGUAAGCGUUUGCUCCUAACGGUGGCGACUGGCGGGCGGGUGACACAUACAUAGCCAUCUUAUAUUUCUGGGGUGAUUACGUAGGACAUGUUCCGAUAAUACCUCAUAUAUCCAACGGGAUAAAUCAGUGGAUCAUGGGACCUUGUGCGAUUGUAUGAGCUGAUGUCGCAUUGGCUAGUCGGGUGGGUAAAGGACCACCAAGCCGAGGAUCCGUAGCUGCUCGGAGAGGAUGAUCAGCCACACUGGAACUGAGACACGGUCCAGACUCCUACGGGAGGCAGCAGUGGGGAAUAUUCGACAAUGGGCGAAAGCCUGAUCCAGCCAUGCCGCGUGAGUGAAGAAGGCCUUCGGAUUGUAAAUCCCUGUUGUUAGGAAAGAAAAACAGCAGAUUUAUACACGGAUGUUCUGACGGUACCUAAAGAAAAAGCACCGGCUAACUUCGUG